UUUAAGGAGGGUAGAGUUGUAACGCCCCAAUUUUCGGGAAUUUUAAAAAUGUUGGAAAAUUUUAAAAAUUCUGUGUUUUGUUUGUUUGUCGUAGGAUUAAGUACGUUAGUGGGCCUCUAGAAGGCCCAAGCUUAAGGUAAAACCUGGUAGUUUUAAUUAAUUUUAAUUCCAUAAGAAAAAUGGGUUCUGGUUAAUUCGGCUUUUAGGUAUUAAUUGUGUAAAAUAAAUCACGGGGAAGCAUGUGGUAAAAUGGCUAUGUGACGCCACUUAGGGGUUUUAGGGGUGGUGUGUGGAUGACCAAGGAGGGCUAAGGUUCGAGUCACAAGGUAAGCAAAUUAAUGAUAUUAAUUUUUAUGUACAGAAAAGGUAAGUAAUGAAACUGAAGUGAAAGACUGUUAGGAAGAGUUGGAGUUGCUCAGGAGAUUGAAUAAGGAGGGGAUAAGGGAGAGAAUUUAGGAGCUGAUUAGGGAGAGCUGUGUUGGCCGAAUAAUGGACUCUUGAGGAGCAAGAGUUGGCCGACCAAGGGGAGCUUUAGGGAGGCAAAAUUUCAGCUAGGGUUAAGGUCAGUAUAAAUUCGGCAUUAAGGGGAAGUUGUGCCGUUUACUGACCAUUUCCCUUUUCAUUCUUCUCCCCUCUCUUCAUCAACCUUUUUCUUAUUCUCCUUUCUCCUUCAUAGCCGAACCCUUCUAACCUUUUGUUCAUCUCUAUCCUUCCCUUCAGACGUUUCAAAACCUUCAUAGCCUUUAGCCAUAAAAAGUCAAAAUCCCGAAAGCUACACUUUCUUCUGUGCCGAUUUUUUCCUAGCAAAAUUCUCUUAUUUUGCUUAUCAUAUUUGGCCGAUUCUUUCCUCUUUUAAACCUCAAGCUUUGUCGACAAGACUAUAGUAAAACCCUAUUAAUUCAUCUUCUUCUACACAGUUGCAAAAAAAGCCGAAAACCCCACUUUCAUAGGGACUUAGCCGAAUAUUGAAAACACUGAAGGCUUGACUUUGGUGAUCGUUUGAGGGUAGAGCGGCAUUGGAUUUAAGUAUGCAUCAAUUGGAAACAUUGGUCGAAGGAAUCGGUGAGGCUGCUGAUCAAGGGCUUGGACAAGUGGAACGAUCAGAUCUUUGGAUUUAAGACAUAGUUCGGCAACAAGGCAGUUCGUACGUAGAUCUCGAUAAUGAAUCGUCGCAAAACAGGUGUGUAACUGACACCCUCUCAUAGACUAGAUCGGCAAAAGUCGAAAAGUCGAAAUGCCAGAAAGUUGGUAAUUUGGGAAUUUGCGAGUGUGCGAAUGCUCGUAAGAUAGUUGGGUUUGUAUAUUUGGUAAUCUAAAAGUAAUAAACUGCAGUACACGCGAUUUUGUGCAUUUUGAUAAUGUGGGCUUAAUAGGCUAAAAAUCGGGUUCAUGGGCCAACGGGCCCAAUUCGGUAAGUAUGCGCGGUAAGUGUUCUGUAGUACGUAAAUGGUUAAGAUAUGCAUGAAAACCUUAAAAGUAGCUAAAUUACUAUAAUACCCUUAUGUAUGGGAAGUUACAAUGAUACCCCUAGGUGUAAAUGACCAAUAUGCCCCUAGGGUUAAUUUUGUCUGAAAAGCAUGUUGAUUUAAAUCUGUAUGAUGUAUGCCAUGAAUGAAUAUUUGUUGCAUGGGGACAUGGGUUAUAUUUUGGAGGAAGCGUCCUGGUGGUUAUGCCACAAUUAUCUGAUCUGGUGGCUCUGCCACAUAUUUCUGUUCUGGUGGCUCUGCCACAAUUAUCUGUUUCUGGUGACUCGGUCACAUUAUCUGUUCUGGUAGCCAUGCUGCAUAUUUUUGUGGGGUGUAGCGGUUGGGUGGGUCGAGUAGUCUCUUCACAUGGUGAAAGGAUGGUAUUAGGGUGUACAUGAUUGGAUAUGGGUUGGGUUUUGCAUAUACAUGAAAUAUCUGAUCUGAUCUGUUAUG